UCACCUUUGAUGAUGGCCUUAAAUCGGUGAGUCGCUAUGCGUAUCCGGUAUUAAAGCAGUACGAUAUGAAAGCGACG
rnacentral:tRNA from 1 species